UACGGGGGGGGCGAGCGUUGUUCGGAAUUACUGGGCGUAAAGGGGUUUGUAGGUGGUCUGCUAAGUCAGACGUGAAAUCCCUCAGCUUAACUGGGGAACUGCGUCUGAUACUGGCGGACUUGAGGACAGGAGAGGAACGCGGAAUUCCAGGUGUAGCGGUGAAAUGCGUAGAGUAUCUGGAGGAACACCGGUGGCGAAGGCGGCGUUCUGGGACUGUUUCUGACACUGAAAAACGAAAGCCAGGGGAGCAAACGGG
rnacentral:rRNA from 1 species